AAAAAAAAAGUUUGAUUCUUGCUUUAUAAUUUAAAAUUUAAAUUAUUUUUUAUGUAAGGUUUUCCUUAUUUUUCUAAAUGGUUUUUUUUCAGUGUUUAAUUUUAGUUUUUAUUUAAUGAUAAAACUAGAUUUUUAAUUGUAACUGACAAAUUUUGUGCCAGCCGUCGCGGUUAUACAGUUAGUUAAAUUAAAUUUUUUUGAUUUGAUAUUUUUAAUUAUUUUGUGUAUUUAUAAUUUAAAUUUUUAGGUGGAAUUUUUAUUUUUUAUUUAUGUAUUGGUAUUUAUUUAUAUAUGAAAAUUAUUAAGAAACUAGGAUUAGAUACCCUAUUAUUAUAAUUGUAAAUUCUUUUAAUAUUAAUAGUUAUGUUCUUUAAAUUAAAAGAAUUUGGCGGUAAUUUAAUCUUUCUAGAGGAACCUGUCCUGUAAUUGAUAAUCCACGAUUGGUUUUACUUUAAUUUUGUUUAUAUAUCGCUGUCAUUGAAUGUUUUAAAAGAAAAUUUUCUUAAAAUUUUAUGAGUUUAAUGUUAGGUCAAGAUGUAGCUAUAUUAAAGGAGAGAUGGGUUACAAUAAAUUUAUUUUUGGAUUAAUAUUUUUUUUUUAUUAUGAAAUUGGAUUUAGGUGUAAUUUUUAUAAAAUUUUAAUUUUGAUUUUAGCUCUAAAUUAUGUACACAUCGCCCGUCACUCCCAUUUUAAGUUGGGAUAAGUCGUAACAAAGUAGGCCCACCGGAAGGUGGGCCUGGGUUUUCA
rnacentral:ncRNA from 1 species